UCCCUGGUAGUAUAUCGGUUUAGUACACGCGCCUGUCAACUUCUGCGGUGCGCGCGAGAGCCGGGUUCGACUCCCGGCCGGGGAG
rnacentral:tRNA from 1 species